CUCUGUACGGGAAGGAUGAGAAGCUUCGACUAAGGUUCGAUUCGAGCGAAAGCGAGAAAGCGUUGCCGCAGGCAACGACCCGAAGGGCGAAACGCGCAGCGCUGAGUCAUCCUUCCCCCACCACCA
rnacentral:sRNA from 3 species